rnacentral:lncRNA from 1 species
CCGGAUGUUGCACUAGGGAAAAGUAAUGCAAUGAAUAUACACUCAAACCAAUCAUAACUAAAUGAGGUUAACUAUUACCCCUGUAAUAUAUGACCCCCUAUAAUCUCAUGCCAAAUGUAUCCUCAAUAUAAACAAUAUGCAAUGAGAUGGAACAAAAUAUCAAAAGAGGCCCAUUCCCAAAUAUAUACAUAUAUAUAUGGUGUCAAAUACCUUUUGAACUUCUCAGCUCAGUUCUUGUAACUGUACUGUGUCAACAUAGCAAUGGUACGUAAUAAAUAACCAAAAAUUGCUUAACUACAAUUUCUAUUUAUCCUAAUUGUUUCCAGAGCUGUUCUCCAAUCUAAGAAAAUUAUGAAUGUACACUAAAACACAGAAAAAUUAAAAUGUAUUGGUGUCGGGACAUUGACCAAAUGGUCCUUAUAAAAUUAAAUUUUCCAUGUAUAAGUACAACAAAGCAAGAGAACCACAAGAGGAGUUAACAGCAUUCAAAUACUAGUACAUAACAGAUGAAAUAUAUUACCACAAAAUUCCCUCAACUUAUACCCUUACUUCCCUGUUAACUUUUUCCCUUUGAACAUCAAAUGCAUGUAUACUAUUUCCUCCAUUAACUAUUGUUCUAAUCUUAAGAUUCUAGAUUCGAAUCAAUUUCGUACCAUAUCAAAUUCGAAUCUAUGAGAUAAAUAUAAAAUGUACCUGAAUCUUAUGAUUCCCGAUUCAAUUUCAUAUCCUAGAAAUAUAAAUCUUUGUGAAUCAUAGAUGCAUCUGAAUGACUGAAUUGCGAUUAAAUCGAAAGAAUUGCGAUUAAAUCGAAAGAAUUGACAAUAAAUCAAGUGAAUCAAUAUGAAUGACUAGGGGCUUCAUGCAAUUCGAUUGAUUAUUUUCUAAAUAGUUGUUAGACCCUAUACUUGAUUUAAGAUUGCAUUCAUUUUUGCUAUGAAAAAUACACAUAAAAACCUUUCUUGCCUUUUUUCCUCCAGCACCCAUUAUUUCCCUCUCCCUCUUCUUUCUUUUUCCUUUUUUUUAAAGUUAAUUUACUUCUCAAUUAUAGUUAUCAAGCUAUGACAUUUUAUAUUAACCUUUUCAUUUAACCUCCCAUCAUUUCUAUUAUUUGAUUAUUUGAUAAAAUUUAAAUGAGAGUUUCACAGCGUGCAUAAUGAUAAUCAUUGUUUACUAUUUAUGAGUUCACAAUUUAUAACAUACAAUUAUAUAAUAUAAUAAGAAUAUCUUAUUCUAUUAUAAAUAUAAUUUUUAUUAGAUAAGUGUAAUUCUAUAUUUACCAAAAUAUGUUAUAAUAUGUUGUUAUGGACUCUUUUCUAGUAUUUGAUUUAUUUUAGGAUUAAAUUAUUUUGUCUUAUCUCUUUGUUUUCUUGCUCCUUACCACUCCUAUCUCAGUAGAAGUGUGUUAAUCAGUAAUACUAUUCUUUACAUAUAUUAGUGGAAAGUCAAAAAUAAAAUAAGCAAAUUUAUUUUAUUUAAACUCUCUUAACGAGUGCAAAAGGUCAGAACUUCCUUCAUUGAG